GAUGGAGCCAAUCUAAACGUGGUAGAUAAGUACGGCUGGUCGGCACUCAUGAUAUCUAGCGCGGCUGGGCAUUCAAAUAUAGUUGAAUGUCUACUAAGUUCCGGCGCAGAUACAUCUAUUAAGGAUAAAAGUGGAAGAAAUGCUGUAGAUAUUGCAAAUAUAAAAGGAAAUUUCGAAGUUCUGAAAAAAUUUCAAAGUUGGCAAAAUAAGGACGAAUUCAAGAUAAGAAAAAAGAAAUCAGAAGUUGAUGAAUUUGAAACCUGUGAUGUGUGCGGUGAAAUUUACCAAACAAAUAACAAAAAUCUUCAUAUAGCCUCGAUGCCCCACCAGUUGAAGAUUGAUCGGUCAGAGUUAGAAAUCGAUCCAGGAUUUAGUAUCUCACAAACCAACAAAGGCUACCAGCUUCUACGGAAAGGUGGAUGGGAUGGAAGGUCUGGAUUGGGUGCUGUAAAGGAAGGCCGAAAGACAGGGCGUCUCUUCCCUAUCAAAAGCGUUCUUAAACGGGACCGCGAGGGGGUCCAAGAGGGAACCAAGAAAUCUGCAAAAAUAACACAUUUUGCGGCAAAUGAUAAAGAGAGUAUAUUAAAUGCCCAAACCAGAGUUCAGAAGAAAAAUAGAUCGAAUCCACAGGACACAAGCGCGGAUUUGUUAAUUAGAAGAAGUCUUGGAAUUUUUUAGUAUUUUCAGUAUUGUUUAGAAUAUAAAAAGAACUUUCAGUUUGUCAGAGCUUAAAGCAUUCCCUACAUUUCAUGAUUGAAUUCAUUAUUCUUAAUCAUAAAUCAAUUAAUCAGAAUGAGUCGGCAAAUGAAUGUUGAUUUUUAAAAUUGGGAGGUGAUGCGUUGCAUUAUCACCUUCUAAUAAAAUAACACUCAAUAAUAUUAUGUAUUUUUUCCGAAAUAAUAAUUUUUAUUGUUUUCAGAUUUCCUACUUAUUGGACCUUUAGGAGAUUGGUAAAGUUGGGAGGAAGCUGAUUAAGUUCAUUCUUUCCCAUCUUCUAGGACAGAAUUGGUGGGGUAGGAAGUAGAACAAAGAGGGUAGGUAUGGCGGCAAGACGCGCCACGCAUGCAGACUCUUGGUAUAGUGCCGAUGCUAAAGAACUGAACAGGGAGUUGGAGGGAUGGUUGGCUAAUGUGGGACAACCUUCGAUAUCAGCUCGAGCAGUCAUCAGUCCCCACGCCGGGUAUAGAUACUCGGGGGCUACUGCCGCGCAUAGUUUCAAGCAGAUCAAUCCGGAAAAUGUUAGAACAAUUUUUAUUCUUGGACCAUCCCACCAUGUUAAGUUGUCUGGUUGUGCUGUUUCUCAGUGUGCUACCUACAAAACCCCGUUGUAUGAUCUGAAUAUAAAUACAGAGAUAACUCAAGAUCUCCUCGAUACAGGUCAUUUUGAGUUGAUGAGUAUGGAGGCUGAUGAGGACGAACAUAGUAUUGAGAUGCAGCUUCCAUACAUAGCCAAGAUUAUGGAGUCUGCCAGGGGAAGGUUUACUAUUGUUCCCAUCAUGGUAGGUUCUCUAUCUACCUCAGGAGAGGCCAAAUAUGGCAAACUUUUAGCUAAAUACUUGGAGGAUCCGUCCAACUGCUUUGUGAUAUCCUCGGACUUCUGUCACUGGGGACAAAGGUUCCGUUACACUCACUACAACCAGGACCAGGGAGACAUAUACCAGUCUAUUGAGGCCUUGGACCGUCAAGGUAUGGAACUGAUCUCAAGCCUUGAUGCCCCAGGGUUCUCUUCAUAUCUCAAAAAAUAUGGGAACACAAUCUGUGGAAGGCAUCCAAUAGGUGUAUUUCUAAACAUGGUUGCUGCAAUGCGUCAAAAUAUGAAUGGCAUCAAGAUGGAGAUGAACUUCCUCAGCUACGCGCAGUCGAACCAGGUGAAAAAUGUCCGGGACUCCUCUGUGAGCUAUGCUGCUGCUACGUUCAUUAUUCACUAGAAAAACCCUCACAAUUCAGAUUUAGAUUCAAUUGUAUUUUCAUCGUUUAUUUUUAAUUCGAUGAGCAUUGCGGUUCUUUUCAACUAACGCUAAUAAAAAGUAAUAACUGUAAUUCACCCUAAAUGAAAAAGUAAAGCUCCGACGGCACAAUUUUAAAUUUUUUUUGUAUCCAAUAAUAUUUUUGAAAUAUUUUGAUCCCCGUGUAAUAUUGGAAUUAAGCGACGACUUCUAUAUCGUCUUCUUCUACGAGGCAUUAAAUAUGAGAGCACACUUUUUGUAGCAUCCUAGUUUAAAAAGUUAAUAAUGAAGACUAUAGUAUUGGGAAUUCCAAAAUGUGGGUUACUAUUUUUGCACCUCAAAAAUUGACGAGAGAUAUUAAAAAAUCUGUCCAGAUUAUGAUUUACUAAAUAGGGUCGAAAUGGCUCAGUAACAUUUCGUUUAGUACACUUUCGUCUAAGUUCACUUUUGUCUAGUUCAUUUUCGUCUAGUUCUUUUUUGUCUAGUAAAAUUUGGUCUAAGUAACAUUUCGUCUAAGUAACAUUUCGUCU
rnacentral:misc_RNA from 1 species